GACGAACGCUGGCGGCGUGCCUAAUACAUGCAAGUCGAGCGGACUUUCCGGAGUGCUUGCACUCCGGAAGGUUAGCGGCGGACGGGUGAGUAACACGUAGGCAACCUGCCCAUAAGACCGGGAUAACAUUCGGAAACGAAUGCUAAUACCGGAUAGACGGACUUCUCGCAUGAGGGGAUCGGGAAAGGCGGAGCAAUCUGCCGCUUAUGGAUGGGCCUGCGGCGCAUUAGCUAGUUGGUGGGGUAACGGCCUACCAAGGCGACGAUGCGUAGCCGACCUGAGGGGGGGAGCGCCCACAGGGGCACGGAGACCCGGCCGAGCCCCGGCGGGGGGGAGGCAGGGGGGAUUCUCCCGAAAGGGGCGAAAGUCGGAGGGAGCAACGCCGCGGGAGGGAGGAGGGCUUUGGGGUGGAAAAGCUCUGUGGCCGGGGAAGAAGGGGAAGGGGAGAAACUCCCCUGGCCAGGAGGGUACCUGAGAAGAAAGCCCGGGCUAACUACGUG
rnacentral:rRNA from 1 species